CUACGGAGGAUCCGAGCGUUAUCCGGAUUUAUUGGGUUUAAAGGGUGCGCAGGCGGCCAUUUAAGUCAGCGGUUAAAUCGUGGGGCUCAACCCCAUUCUGCCGUUGAUACUGGGUGGCUUGAUUGCGGUCGAGGUUGGCGGAAUUCGUUGUGUAGCGGUGAAAUGCAUAGAUGUGACGAAGAACACCGAUUGCGUAGGCAGCUGACCAGAUCGCAAAUGACGCUCAUGCACGAAAGUGCGGGGAUCGAACAGGAUUAGAUACCCUGGUAGUCCGCACAGUAAACGAUGAAUACUUGUUUUCGGCGAUAUAAUGUCGGAGGCAAAGCGAAAGCGAUAAGUAUUCCACCUGGGGAGUACGCCGGCAACGGUGAAACUCAAAUGAAUUGACGGGG
rnacentral:rRNA from 1 species